CAAGAAGCCGAAAGGCUACUUAAAACCAUCGCGAACUUGUCCAAGUUGCUUCGGCGGCGCGGCUCCCCUCACGGGGGACCGCAGCCCCCGCCUCUCAGGAGGUAAGGGGCAGCCGCCGGAGGUACGAAACUCUGUAUUAUAGUGGUAUCUCUGAGUAUAAAACAAAUAAGUUA
rnacentral:misc_RNA from 1 species